GUGACGUCACGGCGGCAGGUCUGGUUAGGCGGUGGUAUCUGUGUGACUGUGCAGUAGGAAUGGGACACAGUGGCUGCUGCUGACACAACACGUGGCUCAUCAUAACAGCGUGUUACUAUGGUAACAGGCAUGUCUCCCUGUGUUACACACAUCACCCUGAGAGAGAAGUUGCUUAACUCAAUUAUAGCUCCUUCAAAGGUGUGUAGGGGGUUAAACUAGACUAGUAGAAAUACAUUCCCACAGCACACCACAUUGGACCAGCAAAAGACUCAUGAAUCCUACAUGAUAAUAGCAAUGCAGAGAUCUCCGUUACAGACAUCAAACAUAUGGGUCGGCGCUACGACACCAAGGUCUUGGGGACACCACAAUCACUGAAUAUCACUCAUUCAAUGUUUUUAUCUUUCCCGUAGCACCUGCACAGUAAGCAAUAUCAAUCAUGACAAUCUAGUGAGUAGUAUAUACUAAAGACACUCCUGAUGAAGUAAUAGAUGACGAAACGCAUUGGGUGAUAGAGUAUUCGUAUCCAUAAAGGAAAAGAAAAAAGUUGUCUACUAAGUACCUACUGAAAAACUCAGUUGUAUUUGUGUACCUACUAUUGUUUUAUUGCAAUAGGU